CUUGAUUUGAGUUGAGGAAGGCUGAAAGCAGGGACAGCUAUGAAUAUUGAGCCUGGGGGCAGGGUACCCGCCUCCAGAAGGUCCUUGGCUGUGAAUCAAGGACUUGACCUCAGUUUUGGAGAAGCUGAGGUUGUAGGCAGGAAAACAAGUAAGAGGCUCAAGGUCUGACGUGAUCUGGAACCCAGAGGUUGGUUAAUAUAAUAGGACAUUAGCCUAGAACUUGGUAAGAAGCUCAGUGGAGACCCUGGCCCGUGGGCCGAGGCUUUAUCGGGGCCUGGAGCAGCCGUUCUUCACCUUUGCUGCACAUGAAAAACACUGGAGAUCUUUCAACAGUCCUGGUGCCCAAGCUCUCCUAAGACCAAAUCACUAGGGACAUUUAUCCAGCACCUGCUGUGUACCAGGCUCUGUUCUAGGUGCUGAGUAUACAAGAAUGGAGAAGUUCACCUAAAAUGUUACCAUCUUCUCUACAAUAUCUUACCUCAACAACACACUCUUGUGCCUGGAUUGUUGCAAUUGCUUCCGAAUCAGUUUUUCUGUCUCCACUCUUAAUGUCAUUCAAGACUUUCUGCACCUGACAGCACAACAGUCCCUCCAAAGUGUCACUCAGCAGCUUAACCCCCCCACACUGCCCUCGGGAGCAGCCCCCCAGUGUCUCACAGGGCUGAGAUGAUGCCCUCCUUGACUUGAACCUUCAUGCUUCUCAGAGAAACGCCUUUCAACUUGGUGCUGUCAGACCCACGUAGACUCUGCUGAAGCACAGCCAGUUCCUCUCAAUUCUCGAAUGAGCCACCUUCCCUCUCACCUCCAAGUGGCGGCUCACGCUGUUGACUGCCUGCACGAUGUUCUCCCUGGCUCUGCAGUUAAUUGCCUGUGUAUCACUCCUGCACCAUGGAGAAGGCAAUCAGAAACAUCCUUCCUCCU
rnacentral:lncRNA from 10 species